GAGUAAUGCGUGACCAACCUGCCCCAUGCUCCAGAAUAGCUCUUGGAAACGGGUGGUAAUGCUGGAUGCUCCAACUUGACGCAUGUCUUGUUGGGAAAGUGUUUAGUGGCAUGGGAUGGGGUCGCGUCCUAUCAGCUUGUAGGCGGGGUAAUGGCCCACCUAGGCUUCGACGGGUAGCCGGCCUGAGAGGACGGACGGCCACAUUGGGACUGAGAUACGGCCCAGACUCCUACGGGAGGCAGCAGCA
rnacentral:rRNA from 1 species